rnacentral:rRNA from 1 species
AGAACGAACGCUGGCGGCAGGCUUAACACAUGCAAGUCGAGCGCCCCGCAAGGGGAGCGGCAGACGGGUGAGUAACGCGUGGGAAUCUACCCUUCACUACGGAACAACUCCGGGAAACUGGAGCUAAUACCGUAUACGUCCUUCGGGAGAAAGAUUUAUCGGUGAUGGAUGAGCCCGCGUUGGAUUAGCUAGUUGGUGGGGUAAUGGCCUACCAAGGCGACGAUCCAUAGCUGGUCUGAGAGGAUGAUCAGCCACAUUGGGACUGAGACACGGCCCAAACUCCUACGGGAGGCAGCAGUGGGGAAUAUUGGACAAUGGGCGAAAGCCUGAUCCAGCCAUGCCGCGUGAGUGAUGAGGCCCUAGGGUAGUAAAGCUCUUCAACGGUGAAGAUAAUGAACGGUAACGAGAAGACGCCCGCUAACUCGCGCACGCACGCCGAC